UUAACAGCUAGGAAUAAUCUAUUAUGCUCUGAUUUAUUCUAAAAACUGAGGGGUAGGUACUCACAAGUUAUAUUCCUGUAUCUUAAUUCUUCACUUUAUAUGAUAGGUGUUGUUUUCAAGUUCAAAUUAUAGAUGAAAGUGGAUCAAUAACUGCAAUAUUACUUGGUGAAGUUGGGGAGAAUCUUCUUUCAAUGAGAGCUGAACAAAUCUAUGAAACAAUUAACAUAAACAUACAAAAAAGAAUUAUAAUUCAGUUAAAUUCUUACUUCAACUGAUAUCUUAGACCUUGAUCACAUUCUUCUUAAAUAUAGAAAGAUCCACUGCCCCUCCAGUCUAUCUAACAACAUCUUGCCAACAUAGUGUUUAAAAUACAUUUGAGGAAAUCAUACUCCAGGCAUUCUGAUAAUGCACCAGCAAAACUGUUCGUUUCAUCAUUUGUAGAGAAGCAAGAUGCUCUUCAAUUACCACCAUUAUCAGCUUCUGCAGAUGUUGGAGAAAGCAGUAAAAGAGAACUUGAUAAUGCAUCGUCACCAGUCCAACUACUGGAAGUACCUCUAGCAAAAAACAACAACUUGAGUACACAACUCCAUCAAAAAACAAUGUCUCUUCCAGUAAAAAAGAAGGUACUAAGCCAACCACUCCAGCUAAGAUAAAGUAAAGCUCACUCGGCUAUGUGCCUACCUUGUAUAUAUGUCUUUUGUUGGCUUCUACAUGCCAAGCUUUUGAUGGACCAGAUGCUUAUGGAUCAGUACUUAAAAUAUACAGGAUUGUUGGUGCUUAUAACGUUUAAACUUGUGCAUUGUAAAUGUGUUUUUGGCCAGUAGCGCAAAACUUUAGUGUCCUAUAGUAUUAGGCAUUGUAAAUUUGUUUUUGUCCACUAGUGCACUGUAGUCUUGUGCAUUGUAAAUUUCUUUUUAUCUAGUAGCGCACAACUUCAUAGUUGUGUAGCCUUGUGCAUUGUAAAUUUAUUUUUGUCUACUAGCGCACAACUUGAUAAUCUUAUAUUAUAAUCUAACUUAGUUUCUCAAAUCGUACACAGUAUGUAUUGUCUGGUUUAAAUUAAUUACUAGCUCCCGAGAUAUGUAAACUUCCUACAAUUUGUACUUAAAAGACAAGUUAUGUCAAAUUUUUCAACAUGCACUACUUUUGUAGUCAACACAUGACAUUUUCAAAGACAAUUGUAAUUACUAAAAAUACUACUGGUAAUAACACUUAUGUAAGAUCACCGAAACUUAUAGGACACAAGUGCAUUUGGAAGCUUAUACACUUCAUUCUUGUGCAGUCUUUGAACCACACUAGUAAUACAAGCUCGGGCCAACCACACUAGUAAUAAAAUAAGUAAAAAAUCAACUUUUCUUUUUGUAGGAAAACAUUUUCCUUCAUACCAAACACACCCUUAGUUGAGGUAUCAACACACAAGAAAUAAAAGAAAAAAAAAGAAAAAAAGAAGAAGCAAAGAUUGCUUAUGUAUUCCGUCUUUUGCAAAUGAAGUGAAAAAUUAUGGGUAAAUCCAUUUUUUUAAAAAAUUGAAUAAGGUGCAAACUAAAAGGAGGGGUUGAGAAAAAAAGAAGAAGAAAGACUUGAACCCGUGGAAGCGGGCUAUAUUUUCGAAUCAGAGUUCACCUGUGAGCGAUGAAAGCUGAGCUGCGACUACUACAAAAAUCUAUGUUUUCAGAUCAAAGGAGGACAAUGAGUUUUUCACUUCACUGUUUCGUUGUGUCUCCAUUCUCAUACUUGUUCUAACGCCAAUCUCAUUCACUCAUGCCCACAUGAUGGACGUAAAAGUUUUGCGAGUUGGACAGGAGCUAAUCAAGGAAACUCUUCCAUUACAAUCCGGAUCGAGAUUAUAUGAAAUGCAAGGGUUGAAUUCCAAUAAGUGGUAUGAAGUGAAGAUCUCAUAUCCUGCUUCUGUAUGUACAUUUGAAUUCUUGAUUACUACUAGUUUUUUAGGUCCUAUUGGCAUUUAAAGCUUAAACCUUUGUUGUUGAACAUAUAACAGAUAGCAGCUACUUUUACUCUACAACUAAGUAAAGGAAGUUCAGGGCUAAGUGUUGGUAGGAAGUUACUGAAUACUGAAAAGAUUAUUUUUCAGGGGGACAGUCUUCAAUUGCUUGGUGACAAGGUUUGCUUCUGUCUACAUGAUAUAUAGUGAUUGUUGUCUAUUCUUUUGCUCAUCUUUUACCUCUAAAAGGGCACUGGCUAUGGAAUAUUGUCACAAGGUGGAACAUUUGUUCUGGUAAAUGUGGAGCCUGAGGGAAUUGUUGCAAAACCUGGGGUAAAGGAGAGGAAACACAUCAUAUAUAAUAUAGGUUAAAUUUUCUCCUUAAUUUAGAUAGUUCAAUGUUCUAUCUGACAUAUUUAAUCAUCUUCUCAAAUGCCAAUAUAGUAAUUAUUCACUGAAGUUGUCAGCACUUAUAAGCGAAUUGGCAAUGCUUAAUUUUCAAACACUCCUUAACCUCCCCCCCCUCACACAAAACAAAAGGGGGAAGGAAUUAAGAACAUUCACCUGUGAUUUGUGUUUUGAGUUACUUGCUGUAGCAAACAAAAAAACGAAGGUAAAUGCAAUAAUUGGACACCUGCUAAUAAAUUAAAAGUCACAAAAUUGAAGGAUUAUUGACAUAACACUUUGAUUUGGGGAGCACAUUUAGGUGAAACGGAAAAAUGUCAAUCUAUGCAUUAUUGAAAUUUAUGUACGCUGUCAGUCAGCUAUGUUGUAUGGAGCGGAGUGUUGGCCAGUUAAGAAUUCCCAUAUCCAAAAGUUUUGAAGGUGGCGGAGAUGAGGAUGUUGUGAUGGAUGUGUGGACAUACCAGGAAAGAUAAGGUGAGGAAUGAGAUUAUUCAGGAGAAGGUGGGAGUGGCUUCAGUGGAGGAUAAGAUGCGAGAAGUGAGGUUACGUUGGUUCGGGCACGUGAUGAGGAGGGGAUCUAAUGUUCCAGUGUAGAGGUGUGAGACAAUGACUUUUUAGGUGUGGUAGAGGUAGGCCGAAGAAAUAUUGGAGGGAGGUGAUUAGGCAUGAUAUAGAGCAGUUACAACUUACGGAAGACAUGACCCUUGAUAAGAUGUGGAGGACACGGAUUAGGGUAGAGGGUUAGGGGAUGGGAGUGCAUCAGUAACAGUAGGGGAGCGUUCUUUAUUGGUGUCUGAAGUUUCUUGUUCGUAGUGUUGAGUGAUGUCCAUGUUUUCGGAUAGAUAGUUUUUAGUAUUAUCUUGUGGCUAUAGUAUUAUCUUAUGGCUAGCGGUGUUAGUUUAUUUUGCAUAAUGUACUAGUUUAUAUGCAUUUAUGUUUUGUGUUUGUUAUACUACUAUCGGUUCUAAGCCGAGGGUCUAUCGGAAACAACCUCUCUACUUCACCUGAGGUAGUGGUAUGGUUUACGUACACUCUACCCUCCCCAGACCCCACUAUAUGGAAAUACACUGGGUAUGUUGUUGUUGUUGUUGUUGUUGUCAAUCAGCUAUACGGAUGUACCAUGUCACAACAACAAUGCCCGACCCCAAGCGAGUUGGGCUCGGCUGUAUGAAUCGCCUAUAUCGCUCCAAGUGUCAAGUCCCUUAAGAUCUCUAAAACUUUGUGAGCUCCUUGAGUGUUUAGGAGUUUUUUGCUUAUCAGGAGACUUGACGCUUAUCAGGAGACCUGAAUUUUUGUGCUAUCAAUUGCAUCCUCUGAAUGGUUGAUUUAAUGAACGAGUACUUGAUAAAGAAGGUUUCACGUAGACCCCAUUAGAUCUAAGGCUUGUUGCAUAAGAUUGUCAAAAAGAACAUAGAACAUGUGAAGCCUCUUGCCAUUGUCUGGACUCUGAUGAUUCUUUUAUUAUUCCUCCUAUUAAAUGAAACUAGAAUUAUUAUGGCGACGAGACUUUAUGAACCAUGAUCUGCAGAACUCUUUGAGCUGUUGUCACCAGCGGGCUUUGCAGCCAUUGAUCAGCAGCAAACUCUGGUCUCGGGAAGUUCAAUUUUAGUAGGUAUUUUAUGAUGCCUCCUUAAGAAGGGAGAAUUUCAAGAUAAAACUUGGAUGGAUGGUUAUAGUGUUGAUCACAUCAAAUCCUCUUAUAGCAAGUUGCACCUGUCACGUAUACUGCCUUAAGAUGCCUCCUAGCAGUUUUCUAAUAAAGGUAUCCUAGCAAUGUAGAUAUUUCUUAUCUGGAGUAGAAACAAUAGAAAAAGCUUAAUAUGAGUGAUAUUUGUUAACCACAUAGUAUUGUCUAGCCAAGUUGCUUUUAAGCUUUAGUCUUGUUAGCAGAUUUCACACCAAGCUUUGGAUUGUGACCUAUUUGUCCAAGAUUAACAAGGGAAAAGAAUAAGCCACUUCCAUUACAUGUCUGGCAGUUUAAGGAGACAAGAUUGGAAGGUGAGUUAGUCAGUAUAUUGACCAAUAUUUCUCCGUCAAUAAGUAGCAAAAGUUCUAAAUGAGAUGAAGGCAUGUGGACAAACCCUUUCCUGAUCACAAUAGGAAUUGAGGCUCGUUCGUUGUAUAUAAACCAUGGUCUCUCCUAUUUUUUUAGAUAUUAACAUUUUAUCAAAGCUUACGUUAAGUAGUUAUAUCUUUCGAACUGUAUCUCGUUUAAUCAUUAAUAUUAGCCUAUCCAACAACAAUCAACAACGCAGCUGGGUAAUCCCACAAGUGGGGUUAGGAGAGGGUGAGUGUACGCAGACCUUAGCCCUACCUUGUAGAAGUAGAGAGAAAGCAUAAUAAAUACUUUGCUUGGUUUGAAUUUCAAAAUUAUAAAAUGAAAACUAAUGUGAAUGAGAAGAGUUAACUGAAGUGUGUUUUAUAUUCUCUCUUGGACUCCAAGUUGAAAUAUGAUUUUGAUUAAGUAACUAGUAAACAAAGUAGUCCAAAGAAAAAAGCAAAGAAAAACGCCAAAAGUCUGUUGGGGCUUUAGGCCCAUAAUGGUGCUUAACGCACGAGCAGUGCUAAUGAAUAAAAAUAUUUUAUAUAAAAUGCACUAAAAGGGAACUGCAAGCACUAACACUAUUUAUCUGGACAAAUAAACUGUAAAACUUAUAUUUAAGCGAAAUAUAUGAAGUAAAAAAGAUGUCAAUCAAGAACCCAAGGGUUUAGUACAUUGGUCAAUGAAGUGGGUUGAAGAUCAUGAAGUCUCAGGUUUAAAACUCAAUGGAAGCAAAACACUAGGUGAUUUCGUCCUGUUUGUCCAAAACAAGAUGAUGUCAAUAAAGUAAAACUGUUUAAUUUCUGAUUUAGAUGAAAAGGAUAUAUUAUAAAUUUUAUGUUUCUUGGUGCUAGUUUUCAUAUGGUAGUAAAUUUCUGGUUCCUCCUAAGAAAUAAAAAUACAUUCAUAGUGUUUGACUGUUUUCUAACAAGUAAUGUAUCGAUUUGCACCUUUUCUCAAAAAAAAAUGUAUCUGUGUACCCACUAUAUUUGUUGUCUAGUGCUGUCCUCUUAAGACUGUGUCUAUGGUUGAUGCCCUUGUUUCCUAUAAAGCACCACCUAAACGGGAUGACACGUGUAGCCUUCGUGAACUUACACCAUUUAAUCCAAAGCAGCCCUAGAUAUGCUCUCUCAAGUUCAUCCUAGAUGGUACCUAACUGUUGGCUAAAAAGUCAGACAAAAGGGAAUAAAUAACUGUAUAAACCAUAAUAAUUAAAUUACAUAAAUAAGAAUACUAGGCGUAAUUUCUCAAAAGAAUAAGAAUGCCUGACAUAAAAUCCAUGUAAAAUUUCACCACAAUCUUAGAAUGCGAGUUUAGUUAUGCAUGGACAUGAAAGAACAAUAGAUUUAAUCAGAGAACUAAUACAAAAGAGAAGAAAAGAAGGAAAGAUAAAACAUGAAUCAAGUCUCUGAUCUCCUAUCCAAAAGUUCGCAAGACAUCUGAAUGAGUGCCCCGAAAACGAGCCCCAAUUACGUAUAGCUUAUGCCCAAAAAAGAAAAGAUAGAAUAGCGCUUGAUGGGAUACGCCCACUCAACAUAUCAGGCGCACUGCAUUGAAGAAUUCAUUUUUCACAGUGCAACUUUGUAUGCACUUGAGGACGACUUCAUUAAUCUUUCAUGUUUGAAUGUGUUGCAUUUGUGUAGUUUAAUUUUCUUUUUAUUUAGUUGUGUCCCAUUUUCUGGGCUAAUUUUGCAAUGUCUUGCACUAAACCAUCACGAUGAGAUUAGCGUGAUGCCCUGUGCUGCUUCACUUUUCUCCCCCUGGAUGUCCCCUUUUCCUCCCCCUCUCGACCUUAUGGCUUUAAUCUGUAGUUCCUUUGCUCUGGAUGUGAGAUCUUGAGCUUCACUGCGCUGCUUUUGACAUAUAACAACAGAAAAUCAUUCUUUGUACCAAUUAUACCUACCACCAAAACAAACAUAAUUAGUCAAUUCCAAGCAAUAAAAUAUCACUCAAGGCAUUCAAUUCAAAUAAAGAGAAAUGUGUUGAAUGUAAAUAACAAUCCGUCUCAUCAAUUAUGUUCUUGAUUGUGAUGAUAGGGAUUGCAAAUGUAGGCUAAAAAGUGGUUUGUAGCUGAAAUAUCUGCAGAGGAAUGAGGUCCAUUGGUUUGUUGCAACCAUUGACCGAAAGUAGCUUUGACUUCUAGUAGUAUCACAACUGGUAUCUCGUUAAACACAUGCCUUUUUUCUUUGAUGUUGAAAUAUUGUAAUAAUUAUUGUGGAGCAUUAGUCAAUUGAAAACUUCUCAGCUUAAUCUGCUUUUCUGUAUUGGUCCAUCUUCAAUGUGAUCUUACAUACAGUUAUAAAAUUUUAACUUGUGAAGCUGUGGACAGCUCGUGGAUUUCCUGUUCCUUUUCCCUUUGAUGUAUAGAACAUUUAAUGACUAUUAUCAUGUAGAAUAUGGUCAAAUGGACAGCUUUUCUUGAUGAUUAUGGACCCUGCUUCGUGAAUUCUUGCCGUCCAAGAGUCUUGUCUUACUGAAGCUGUUUGGCUGAUGUGUAUUUGUAAGUGUCUUCACUUGUGAUUCCUUCAGUGUCUUACAAAUAUUAUGUGCAUUUCCGUGAGCUACUAUUUGGCAUCACUCACCAAGCAUGGUAUGUCGUAGUGUUAGUGGUGUUCUGCUUGGCAUUGGCAUUUGUAAUCCCGUCAUUUCUUCCAUCAUAUCUUCUUCCAAGGAAUCAAGGAUUAAAUGCUGCUAAUCAUGGCAUUUAUAAGGACUCUUGAUCAUGUUCUGGUAUUUUUCACCAGUGUAAUACAUUCGGCAAUGGGUAGCAGAUCAUAAAGCUCAAGUGUUAGAAGUUUUCUAACCGGUGUAAGAUAGUUUUGUUAAUUGCAAAUGAUUAAGAUAUGCAUUAUUACUCAAUGCAGCUCUCACACCCUCCCUCGCUUUAUGUACUUUUUUUUUCCCCUUAUCUUGGCUAUAAACAUGGAGUUAGUUUAUUCAAUCAUUUUUCUUGCUUGGAUAA